GCCGAAGUGAUGAAAUGGUAGACAUGCGCGCCUCAAAAGCGUGUGGGGCAACCCGUGCGAGUUCGAGUCUCGCCUUCGGCA
rnacentral:tRNA from 1 species